rnacentral:rRNA from 1 species
CCUACGGGAGGCAGCAGUGAGGAAUAUUGGACAAUGGGCGCAAGCCUGAUCCAGCCAUGCCGCGUGCAGGAUGACGGUCCUAUGGAUUGUAAACUGCUUUUGUACAGGAAGAAACACUGGUUCGUGAACCAGCUUGACGGUACUGUAAGAAUAAGGAUCGGCUAACUCCGUGCCAGCAGCCGCGGUAAUACGGAGGAUCCAAGCGUUAUCCGGAAUCAUUGGGUUUAAAGGGUCCGUAGGCGGUUUAAUAAGUCAGUGGUGAAAGCCCAUCGCUCAACGGUGGAACGGCCAUUGAUACUGUUAGACUUGAAUUAUUAGGAAGUAACUAGAAUAUGUAGUGUAGCGGUGAAAUGCUUAGAGAUUACAUGGAAUACCAAUUGCGAAGGCAGGUUACUACUAAUUGAUUGACGCUGAUGGACGAAAGCGUGGGUAGCGAACAGGAUUAGAUACCCUGGUAGUCCACGCCGUAAACCGAUGGAUACUAGCUGUUGGUAGACGAUUACUAGUGGUGUAGAGAAGUAGAUAAGUAUACCACCGUCGGAGGCGACGUCGCGAGAAGUAGUAAACGUAAAGUAAAGUUAGUAGGACGUGAGACGUAGACGACGGACGACGACGAGGGAGGAGG